CCUACGGGGGGCAGCAGUGAGGAAUAUUGGUCAAUGGACGAGAGUCUGAACCAGCCAAGUAGCGUGAAGGAUGACUGCCCUAUGGGUUGUAAACUUCUUUUAUAUGGGAAUAAAAUGUUCCACGUGUGGGAUUUUGUAUGUACCAUAUGAAUAAGGAUCGGCUAACUCCGUGCCAGCAGCCGCGGUAAUACGGAGGAUCCGAGCGUUAUCCGGAUUUAUUGGGUUUAAAGGGAGCGUAGGUGGAUUGUUAAGUCAGUUGUGAAAUUUUGCGGCUCAACCGUAAAAUUGCAGUUGAAACUGGCAGUCUUGAGUACAGUAGAGGUGGGCGGAAUUCGUGGUGUAGCGGUGAAAUGCUUAGAUAUCACGAAGAACUCCGAUUGCGAAGGCAGCUCACUGGACUGCAACUGACACUGAGGCUCGAAAGUGUGGGUAUCAAACAGGAUUAGAUACCCCUGUAGUC
rnacentral:rRNA from 1 species